ensembl:lncRNA TNS2-AS1 TNS2 antisense RNA 1
ACACUCACAAAGAGCCGAGGGGAGAGAGGGUGCGCAGACGGCCAGCCGGGCCGCGCCAGGGACAUACUGGAGACAGGAAGUGGCUGAGAGGGGGAGAGAGUUGGAGAGAGACGGCCGCGGAGGACACGGGGACGGGAAAGUCUGAGAGACGGGGAGAGCCUGACCCGGCGGGACACAGGCAGAAAGAAACACGCGAGCCAGACAGACGCAGAAGAAACGUGCCUGGUACUGGAUAGGAACUUCAUGGAAUGGAGCUAAUGGGCCGUAGGGCAGGUUUGAGUCGUGCCACCCUGGAGCAGAAGGUGGAGGGUAGGGAUAAGAACUUCCGAGAAGUCACCACCAAUCAAGAGCUGAUUCAGAAGAGCAGAGGGACUCAGUGAAGUUCCAGAACUGGCCUGAUAGCAGCCACUACAUGAUUAAGAAAAAAACAAGCAGCUUUGUUGUAAAAAAGAUUGGCUUCAUGGUUUUUAUAAUCAUGAAUUUCUCCUCCAUGUUCCAAUUGUCACCUGAUUUUUAAUCCAAGAAUAUCAAACUUGAUGUACCCCUUUGUUUAACUGAAGGUUGCUUUCUCACUUGGUAUCCCUUUCUUUCAAAAUUUAACUUUCAGGAAAUAAAGGUAACCAGUUUGCUAUGAAUGUUAACACAUAGCCUUCUGGACACAAUUAGAACCUGAAGUAUUACGGUCUCAAUGUGCAAACCAGAUGAACCCGGCUAAAAUAAUCAAAGUUGACCACGAACAUGGUAUUUUCUGUAUCUCUCAAGUGACUUAAUAUUAAUCCAGCUCCAAAAGUAUUGUUUAUGAUCAACCAGAUCACAUUUUGAAUCCAUCCUACGCUUUUUUUUUUUUUUUUGAGACGGAGUCUCGCUUUGUCAUACAGGCUGGAGUGCAGUGGCGCGAUCUCAGUUCACUGCAACCUCCGCCUCCCAGGUUCAAGCAAUUUCUCCUGCCUCAGCCUCCCAAGUGGCUGGGACUACAGGCGCGUGCCACCACGCCAGGCUAAUUUUUUUUUUUUUUUUAGUUUCACAGUGUUAGCCAGGAUGGUCUUGAUCUCCUGACCUCGUGAUUAGCCUCCCAAAGUGCUGGGAUUACAGACGUGAGCCAACGCGCCCGGCCUGCUUUUUCUUUUUUCUUUUUUUGCAGUGGUGCAAUCGUGGCUCACUGCAGCUUUGACCUUUUGGGCUCAAGCAAUUCUCCCACUGUAGCCUCUUGAGUAGCUGGGACUAUAGGCAUGCACCACCAUGCCCAGCUAAUUUUAAAAUUUUUUGUAGAGGCAGGGGUCUUGCUACACUGCCCAGAUUGGUCUUCAACUCCUGGCCUCAAGUGGUCCACCCGUCUCAGCCUUCCAAAGUGCUGGGAUUAGAUGUGAGCCACUGCACUUGGCCUUAUUCCACAGCUUUCAAAGAAUACGGUUACAGAGAGGUUGGGUCUCAUAGCACUUUUAUUGCUGCAGCUCAUAUGCAAAGGUUUUUUUUUUUUUUUAGAGGGAGUCUCACUCUUGUCCAGGCUGGAGUGCAGUGGCGCCAUCUUGGCUCACUAUAACCUCUGCCUCCCAGGUUCAAGUGAUUCUCCUGCCUCAGCCUCCUGAGUAACUGGGAUUACAGGCAUGUGCCACCAAGCCUGGCUAAUUUUUGUAUUUUUAGUAGAGAUGGGGUUUCACCAUGUUGGCCAGGCUGGUCUCAAACUCCUGACCCCAAAUGAUCCACCCACCUCGGCCUCCCAAAAUGCUGCGAUUACAGGCAUGAGCCACUGUGCCCAGCCUCAUAUGCAAAGAUCUAUGGGAGAUUUUAAUAAGCGAACACGAGUAAGACAUGAGGUAAACCACUUACAGUGCGUGGGCUUAUUUUAGACUUUUUCAUAUCAUUUAAUUCAAAAAUAGUGUCUGGGAUUAAUAUGAUGCUAGCUACAGAUCCUUACCCUCAUGGGGCUUAAUCUAGUACCAUCAGCUAAUAUCCAAUUAUUAACCUGUCCUUCCACUGGGAGGAUAAAAACAGAACUGGUGGUCAGUACAAUAAGGUCAAGUUCAACAAAAGAACAUUAACAAUCUGAAUAAGGUAUCCCUUUCCUCUUUGUUCUAUAUACGUAUCUUCUACCAAAACAGCAGAAUGUGGAAUUAAUCUGCCCUUUAGUCCGAUUUGGCUUAAAUCAACUUUGUAGAUCACAGUUUCUCAACUCUCACCCCUUGACUCCUUUGACAAACAAGUUUCUUCUUUAACGUUAUUUGAAAUUUCCAAACAAAUUAAAUAUCAUGACUAAAAAAUAUUAAAAGCACUUUUAAAUCUUAGAAUGUCUUUUCAAAUCACAAGUCUCCCCCUCCUCUGAUUGCCACCCACUCCCAGGCCCUCUGGUUAAGAAAUUACUGUUGGGUGUGGUGGCUCACGC